AUUGAACGCUGGCGGCAGGCCUAACACAUGCAAGUCGAACGGUAACAGGAAGCAGCUUGCUGCUUUGCUGACGAGUGGCGGACGGGUGAGUAAUGUCUGGGAAACUGCCCGAUGGAGGGGGAUAACUACUGGAAACGGUAGCUAAUACCGCAUAACGUCGCAAGACCAAAGAGGGGGACCUUAGGGCCUCUUGCCAUCGGAUGUGCCCAGAUGGGAUUAGCUAGUAGGUGGGGUAACUGCUCACCUAGGCGACGAUCCCUAGCUGGUCUGAGAGGAUGACCAGCCACACUGGAACUGAGACACGGUCCAGACUCCUACGGGAGGCAGCAGUGGGGAAUAUUGCACAAUGGGCGCAAGCCUGAUGCAGCCAUGCCGCGUGUAUGAAGAAGGCCUUCGGGUUGUAAAGUACUUUCAGCGGGGAGGAAGGGAGUAAAGUUAAUACCUUUGCUCAUUGACGUUACCCGCAGAAGAAGCACCGGCUAACUCCGUG
rnacentral:rRNA from 1 species